CACUAUUUUGACGUUACCUACAGAAGAAAGCACCGGCUAACUCCGUGCCAGCAGCCGCGGUAAUACGGAGGGUGCGAGCGUUAAUCGGAAUUACUGGGCGUAAAGCGCAUGCAGGCGGCCUGUUAAGUCAGAUGUGAAAGACCCGGGGCGUUAACCUCGGAAUUGCAUUUGAAACUGGCAGGCUAGAGUCUUGUAGAGGGGGGUAGGAAUUUCAGGUGUAGCGGUGAAAUGCGUAGAGAUCUGAAGGAAUACCAGUGGCGAAGGCGGCCCCCUCGGACAAAGACUGACGCUCAGAUGCGAAAGCGUGGGGAGCAAACAGGAUUAGACUACCCUGGUAG
rnacentral:rRNA from 1 species